UUGGAAUGAAAAGAGGCUGUUGCUAUUGCUGGGCACUAGCAAUGUGCACGCCUUUUGUUUAUUUUUUCUCCCUGUGCACCACUUGUAGACUUUUCCCUGUCUAUGAUUAUAUAUCACAUAACCUUAUGAAUGCCCUUGUAAUAUAUAUGUGUUUACAC
rnacentral:misc_RNA from 1 species